rnacentral:tRNA from 1 species
CGCGGUUUAGCUCAAAGGAUAGAGCGCCUGUUUUCGAUCUAGGGGUCUUCGCAACACCAACCUAGAGACAGGGAGAUACGGGUUCAAGUCCCGUAGCCGCGCCCA